rnacentral:rRNA from 1 species
AACGCUAGCUACAGGCUUAACACAUGCAAGUCGAGGGGCAGCAUGGUCUUAGCUUGCUAAGGCCGAUGGCAACCGGCGCACGGGUGAGUAACACGUAUCCAACCUGCCGUCUACUCUUGGACAGCCUUCUGAAAGGAAGAUUAAUACAAGAUGGCAUCAUGAGUCCGCAUGUUCACAUGAUUAAAGGUAUUCCGGUAGACGAUGGGGAUGCGUUCCAUUAGAUAGUAGGCGGGGUAACGGCCCACCUAGUCUUCGAUGGAUAGGGGUUCUGAGAGGAAGGUCCCCCACAUUGGAACUGAGACACGGUCCAAACUCCUACGGGAGGCAGCAGUGAGGAAUAUUGGUCAAUGGGCGAGAGCCUGAACCAGCCAAGUAGCGUGAAGGAUGACUGCCCUAUGGGUUGUAAACUUCUUUUAUAAAGGAAUAAAGUCGGGUAUGGAUACCCGUUUGCAUGUACUUUAUGAAUAAGGAUCGGCUAACUCCGUGCCAGCAGCCGCGGUAAUACGGAGGAUCCGAGCGUUAUCCGGAUUUAUUGGGUUUAAAGGGAGCGUAGAUGGAUGUUUAAGUCAGUUGUGAAAGUUUGCGGCUCAACCGUAAAAUUGCAGUUGAUACUGGAUAUCUUGAGUGCAGUUGAGGCAGGCGGAAUUCGUGGUGUAGCGGUGAAAUGCUUAGAUAUCACGAAGAACUCCGAUUG